AUGAUAACCUUAUCUUCAAGAAUAAAAUCAUUUCGUCCGAUGACCACAGAGACAUUAUAACCAGGACCCACAAACUAGAAAUUGAAUUCCUGUGCAAGUACGAGAAAAGAAGCAACCUUACAAUGGAGAUCAACUUCUCUACUAACAUUAGUAAUGAUACAUUGUGGAUGAAAAUGCUCAGAUUUUCUCAAACCGCCAACCAUACAUCGAGUUCGGGCUAGAGGCCUUUAAAUUCAUUGUGCUCCACGAGCAGGUGUUCAUCAGCUGCUCAAUCAUCAUAUCGUCACCUUCCUAAACUAAUUGCCUAAGUCAUUUUUGACAAAAAUGUUUUUAAAAAAUUGAAAUUUAUUUAAAGGAUAACCCCUUGAGAUCCGCCAUCUCGUUUUCGAGGGGGUCCUUAAAACAAACAGAAAUACAAACAACAAAUUACAAUGUAUAACUCAUAAAACAUACAUUCAUACAACAAUUAGCUCUCCAUAACAUCUCCUCACAUAUCAACACUAUAAGUAC